UCAUAGCCCGGAUUGCAGCGGCAUCCUUUUUUUGCUUUGGCUUGAAAAAAGCGGUGGCGAAAAAAGAUACAGCGGAAAGCCGGAUUAAGC
rnacentral:sRNA from 1 species